AAACAUUGAGCUCCCCCAGGUAAGAAGUACCUGCUUUCUUUACAUGUACUGUCCUCAUUUGAUUUAGAAAACAGGUGCUUUGUCUUUUACUGUUCCUCCUAUGAAGCAGGAUUAAGAUACAUGGCCAACUUUUUUCAGGUAGAAUUCGCUGUCUUAAGAAACAUUACAGAAUUAAGAAGAAUCUAUAGCUUCUACAGUAGCCUAGGAUGUGAUCACUCUCUGGAUAAUACAUUUCUGAUGACAAAGCUUCACUUCUGGAGAUUUCUAAAAGAUUGCAAAUUUCAUCACCACAAUAUAACUCUUGCUGAUAUGGACAGGAUAUUAAGUGGUGAGUAUUCAAGGUCCUUUACUUCCUUGGGUUUAGAGGACAGUGUAUCACACUGCCACUUUGCAAACGAGUUCAGAAAUGUUGAGAGAGUAGGGAAGGCAAAAGUCGGGAAAGGAGUUCCAGAAAUUAACCUGUGUCCUUGAUCUCAGUGCUCUCAAUGCUCAAGGUUCUAGAAUAUGUUACACAUCCUUUCCAAUUUUUAAAUUUUAGCCAAC
rnacentral:lncRNA from 1 species